UUUUAAUGUUGUCUUCUAUUUUCCUAAAUGUACUUUGCCACGUUAUAUUACUUGAAAAUCGAUGUGUUUAAAUCACUUUUUUAUUUGCUUUGACAUUUUCUGCGCUACUUAGCGUCGUGUUUCUGAUAGUUUCGAAAUUGAUAAGUAGUAUUAUCAGUGAAAUGCUGGAAUUCACCCGAUGGACGGGUUUGUCAUGUGUUGAAAUACACGCCAGAUUGUGGCAAAAAUAAAUUUUGUAAGCACACAAUGUGCAUCUUAUUUUUACUCUUUUGAUAUGUUAAAUGAUGCAACUGAUCAGCGCGGAAAGGAUUUUUGAGUGUUAUAUUAAAGUUUUAAUGUGUGCAAACUGCAAAGUAACAAAAUGUAAGUGUGAAGUAACGUGAUGUUUGGAGGCAAACGUCGUGUUUAUUUCUAAUGUAAAUGUUAAAAAUGUUUUAUACGAAGGGAGGUUAUUAAUGUGCGUUUCAUGCAUUAACGUGGCAAUCGGACGGAUUUUUUUACCAGCCACAUUUUUUGUAAUUGCACAAAAAGAAAAGAAUUGUUUUGUUUCAUUUAACAUAUCAAAACGAUAUAAUCCGCCUUUACAAAUAGGCUUGUUUGUAGUUGUCGACAGUGGCUCGACACGAAAAUAUAUACUUUUGAGAAUUGUCUCUUUCUUACUGUAAGCAGCAAGUGAAAUGCUUCGAUUAAGACGUUAAUGUACAUGUUGGUGAAAUACAAUUGAUGUGAUUUUGUAUAAGCUGUCAUUUUAUUUACCCACUCAACCCUUUUCAUACAAUAAUUAUAAUCUUAAACACAAAACUAUUUUAUUCAUGAAAGUUGAUAUUUCUAAUGAAAGAUAUUAUUCAUUCCAAUAAAUCUUGUGUUUUCGUGAAUAACAUUCAUGAUUUUGUAAUAUGAACGCUUAAAAAUACGUUCAAUAUAAUGUUACAUCAGAGCUGAAUAACACGUCGCACCCAUUAUGCUUGUCGCCAGAUCGGAGCAGCGGAACAACGGAGAGGAUGCCAGAGCCGCUCUGUCUGACAAACAGAUGAGGACGGGGCCGCGAUACCCAGUCGAUAGAUAUUUGGUUGAGAGCAGCAAAAAUAUUGAAAUGGUUAACAUCAUAGAUGACGAUUUAUGGAAUCCAGAGCCAGCAUUAAGACCAGAAGAUGAAAUAAUUCUACGUAAAUUGCAUGAGAUGCUGCAAUCGACUGCAGACGACCUGAAACUUCUGUCCGGGGAACUGUCUAAAUUUCAUGAGCCUAGUGUGCAAAUCAAACAGCGCCCACUCCGUUGGAUGAAGAAUUUAAUGAAAAGUUCACAUUCAGGAAAUUGUAAACGCAAAAUUUUAUGGGCACAAAAUUAUUGAUAAAACCCCACACGCGGAACCAGCGGUGUUUCGUGGCGUCACUGCAAAAUCAAAGCCCGUAUUAAAUGUACAAAGGCCCAAAGUAAACAAUACUGGUGUGCAAGUUAACGUCGCGCCAACGCUUCAAACUAAACUAGUAAACAGAAAUUUAGGUAUAUCUCGCACUAAGAUAAUACAAAUUAGCGAUAAGAGACAAGAUAACAAAAAUAGUAAAAAUUUGAAUAAUUGUAAAGUAUUUAAUAAUGCGCCAGCCGUAGCUUAUAAUGAAUUCUGUUAUAAAUAUGUUGAACCGAUAGUUAAAGAAAACUCACGUAAAGUGCUGCAAGUACAAGAAAUGCCAAGCAUUAAUAUAAGAAGCGAAUUAAAAGAGCAGAAGGUCUUGAAUAUAGAUAUUUUGCCAGAAUGCACAAAAAGUAAGCCAACUCAUAGUUGCAUCAAUGUAUCUGUAGUGACUAUACAACAUGAGACAGAACCAAAGCAUGUACCUGUAACGACAAAGUCUGUGCAAUAUGAGCAACCAAACUUCAAUAAGCCAGUUCGAAAAUUGUAUAAAAUGUCUACAUGUGAUAGCAGCGGAUCCACUAAUAAUGUUAGUUCUGAGGUCCCAGUAGUCCAAGUUAGACGUUCUUCAAAAACACCUAGGCAAGCCAACUAUCAAAAGAAAAUCACAGGAAAUAAUAAAGAGGUACAGACGAAGUCACAUAUUAAUUUAGAAGAGUGGAAAAGAAAACUCAAUAAAGUUUAUGGUCCAUCCAGUUCAAGAAAAAAUGCUGGAACAUCUAAACCAAAAAAUAGUAAAAGAACACAUUCAGGUAUAGUAACACUCAAUCCGACCAAACUAAACAAUGCUGAAUACAUACCAUAUUCGCAACUAACAUUAGGUGGAGUUAGAGUAAGUGACAUAGAAAAAGAAAUAUCUGAAAUUCGAAAUAAGAAUGAUAUAUCACUAAGUCCUGUUUUAGAUAGAAUUCUAAAUAGCCAAGAAAAUAGUCCUAGGAAGUACAAACCCAAGGAUAGUCCUAGACUUCUAACAACGUCAGAUGAAAAUUUAUUACAAGAAGUUUUAGAUAUAGAAAAAACCAUAAGUGAAACUAUAACGCAAAAUUUUAGUAAGAAAUCUGACGGUGAAUCCCAGAAAAUACAUGACUUAUCUGAGCUAUGUGAUGAUGAAAAAAAUGAAAGUUAUUUAGACGAUUUUGAAGAUGACAAAUCGGAACAAAGUCGAAAAUCUGAAAAAAGCAGCAAGAGGAAUGGUUCACUAUCUGAUAUUUCUAAAAAUUCUGAGUCUAUUGAAGACUCUAAUAGUCCUGGAGAAGACAACUUUGAGAAACCUGGAACAUCUAAAAUCCAAAAUACGACAUUCACAAAAAUAUCAAAUCUAUCUUUCAAAGACUCUGUGGAUAUAUUUGAAUAUGUUCAUUCUGUUGACCGACAAGACACAGGCACACAAAGUUCCACUGAAAGUAGAAUACAGCCCAAAGAGACACAAACGUCACCCAGAAAUGAAAACUUUAAUAUACAACCUAUUCAUAAUGACUUGUGGUCUCCAAUAGAUCCUUCAGGUGAAGUUAAAAUAUGUUUAAAUUGGAGAAAGAGAUGAUUAAAAAGUUAAUUAUAGAUGAGUAUGGAGAUUUAUUAGAGAAGAAUUUAACAAAGCCAUCAACCUCUAAGGACAGCACUAGAGAAAGUGAUAAGAACAUAGCUGCAUACCAAAAGAACACACAAACAUCCCCAGCAAGAGUAAAGAAUGUUAUGACCUCCCCAAAAAAAAUGAAGACCAGGACCACUUCUCCAUUUAAUGUAACUGUUGACCAUCAUACCAGUCCCAUGAUUCCUGUUACUGAAGACAGAGGAGUAAGUGUUAACAUUGAGGAUGAAGAUUUGGAUAUUUCAAUAAACCUAUCAUCACCAAGGUUUAGCCUCCGUUUACCACAGACAUCUCGGGAUGUCUUGUCCAGACUAGGUAGUUGCAGCAAAAUUCAAUCUAAAAAUAUAACAAAAUCCAAAAUCUUUAUGAAAUCAUCAACACAAAGCUCGACAUCACUAGAUGCAGAUAAUUCCUCAUCAGAAAUAAGUAGCUUGGGUGAAAUUAAAUUAAGACUAAACAGAAGACUUAAAGUAAAGAGAGUGCCAACAGUGUCUGAAUCAAGUUCUACUUCAACCGUGUCAUUGUACAGUUCAGAUAUUUUUCAAGUGGAAUUUUGCCACUAAGGAGUCUAGGAGAGAUCAGUGGGGAACCAGCUGUUAUGAAAGAGACUAAAAGCGAUGGUGAAACUAGUUUUGAUCUGUUGAAUAAGUAAAACUUAAAGGAGAUCUAAAUUAUAAUGUUUAUAAUAAGUAGGAUAAAGUUGUUAUAAGUUGCUGUCUCGUAUCAUAUACUAUUGAAGAUUCUGUUAACAGUAUAUGUAGAUCAAAUGUUGCAGUUAGUGAAUGGCUUGCUGUUUGCACCUGUUAGGUACAGAAAUGUGAAGUGCCUUAAUAUUAUGUUUGAAUAUGAGUAUAGCGCCCAUGUUCACACCUAGAGUACAAAGUUUAUAAUAUAUGCUAUGUUUGUUAGGUUUUAUGUGUAAUUAGUUGUAUAAUGCCAUUAUAUUUUGUUUAGGUAAAGGUUUUUUUAUUAUGACUGAAAUAAAAUGUUGUUUCUGUGAAGUAUUA